rnacentral:ncRNA from 1 species
GUCUCAAAGCUUAAGUCAUGCAUGCCUAAGUACAUGUCAUAAAUUGCAAAUGGCUCAUUAAAUCAAUUACAGUUUAGAGCUGAUACAUGCAGCAAAGCUCCAACCCUCUGCAAACGAACGCUUUUAUUUGACCAAAACCAGUUGAACUUUGUAUCAGUUAUGUGCUGACUCUGUUUAACUUUGAAUUGAUAGCACAGGCUUCUCUUGGCGACGUAUCUUUCAGGUGCCUGCCUUAUCAGCUACUAAUGGUAAAUCAUGUGCCUACCAUGGUUGUAAUGUGUGACAAGUAUCAGGGUUCGAUUAUGGAGAGGGAGUCCGAGAAAUGGCUUCUGCAUCCAAGGAAGGCAGCAGGUGUGCAAAUUACCCACUCUCAGAAUGGGGGGAUAGUGAUGAAAA